rnacentral:rRNA from 1 species
UACAGGGGAUGCAAGUGUUAUCCGGAAUUAUUGGGCGUAAAGCGUCUGCAGGUGGAUAUGUAAGUCUUUUGUUAAACCUCUGAGCUUAACUCAGAACCUGCAAAAGAAACUACAUAUCUUGAGUAUAGUAGGGGUAAAGGGAAUUUCCAGUGGAGCGGUGAAAUGCGUAGAGAUUGGAAAGAACACCAACAGCGAAGGCACUUUACUGGGCUAUUACUGACACUCAGAGACGAAAGCUAGGGGAGCAAACGGG